GCAGUAGAGAGGGGAAGGAGUAAUAAACCAAAGAAGGUAAAGACAGGAGCACAAAGUGAAAUUUAGUUGAGUGUUAUCAAGCCUUCGUCGGCAGGUAGCUAACCAGAUCUUUGAAUUUGUAAAUAUGUCUAUAUCCAAGGCAAUCUUUAUAAAGCUAUGUUUUAAUAAACUUUUUAUAAAACUCUUAAUUCUGCAUAUAUUUAACACAGGUGAGUAAUUCUUUCAGAAAGCAAAGUACACUUGCUACUCUCUAGUCAACAGACUAAGAAAGAAGACUGUAGUCUUAGAAAUGUACUGGAUUUGCUUAAUUUUCAAAAGACUUUUAAAAUUAGUUGUAUAGCAAAUGGCUUGGGCCUACCCAGGAACUAUUGUUAAGGUCAAACAGUAGAUUUUUGGGUGUAAAGAAGAAUUUAAGUGAAGUGUUGAAAACCAACUGUAAACAUCACCUCCUGCCCACCCCCUCUUGUCAUUAGUCCCACACAGCUCAGCUUUCAAGAAAAGAACAGUUCCAAACUAUGGGCUUUGAUUUAAACAUUACUCGCCAAAAAAUAUUUCCUAAUGUUGUAUGUUUAAACUUCUGUUUUCACGCAAGCUCAGUUUUUCUUAUUCUUCUAUUUGGUUCUUGGUACACGUCUGCUUGCAUGUAUGUUGUUUAGAAAAGGUUAACUUGAAGCUGUCCUUAAGUGAAUUGCAGUGUAUAAUCACCAUAGUGCUGGGAUCAAGUCUUGACAUAACCAAUUCCUGUGAAUUGUCUCACUCCCUAGAGUUAGGCUAGAAGGGACAAUUAAUAGAUCUAUUUUAACCUCCUGUAUGUCACAAGUUAGUAAACUUCACAGCGUUA